rnacentral:rRNA from 1 species
UACAGAGGGUGCGAGCGUUAAUCGGAUUUACUGGGCGUAAAGCGUGCGUAGGCGGCUUUUUAAGUCGGAUGUGAAAUCCCUGAGCUUAACUUAGGAAUUGCAUUCGAUACUGGGAAGCUAGAGUAUGGGAGAGGAUGGUAGAAUUCCAGGUGUAGCGGUGAAAUGCGUAGAGAUCUGGAGGAAUACCGAUGGCGAAGGCAGCCAUCUGGCCUAAUACUGACGCUGAGGUACGAAAG